rnacentral:rRNA from 1 species
CAAUAGCGUAUAUUUAAGUUGUUGCAGUUAAAAAGCUCGUAGUUGGAUUUCGGGUGGGACGCAGCGGUCUCGCAUUGCGUUUGUACUGCUGCAGCCCUCCUUCUUGCCGGGGGCGGCCUCUCGGACUUCACUGUCUGGGGGUCAGAAUCGGCGAUGUUACUUUGAGUAAAUUAGAGUGUUCAAAGCAAGCUUACGCUCUGAAUAUAAUAGCAUGGGAUAACACGACAGGACUCUGGCCUAUCGUGUUGGUCUAUAGGACCAGAGUAAUGAUUAAGAGGGACAGUCGGGGGCAUUCGUAUUCCGUUGUCAGAGGUGAAAUUCUUGGAUUUACGGAAGACGAACAUCUGCGAAAGCAUUUGCCAAGGAUGUUUUCAUUGAU